rnacentral:rRNA from 1 species
AUGCAAUGUAUGACAGGUGACAGCACAAGUGGCAAGCGAUGUGCUCAUGUGGAUGUAGUAGAUAUUCUCAAAAAAAAAAAUGUGGAUGUAGUAGAUGUGGUGGCCAUAUGGAUAAUGGAACUGGCAGCAGCUCAGAAUGUAUGUAGAGAACACACACACGGCAUGUAUAGUCGCACCCCCCAUGAUGUGAAUGAAAUAAUACCUUCGUUGGUAAAAAGCGGCAGUGUUUCUCACUGUUUUUCUCCGUUACAGUUUUUUCUCUUUGCAGUUGUGCAACCAGGCAGUUUUUUUCAACACACCAGGCAGUUGAAGGGCAAGGCAUGUGUAAAGGUAAGCUUCUUAUCUACUGUAUUUUCAUCAGAUUUCUUUUGGUUUAGUUACCAGAGAAGAGUGAUUAGCAACAGCAUGGGCCAAGAGCAUAUGUUCUUUCAAAUCCGGUACAACAAGAAGCUGACAUGA